UUACCUGAGUGAGAAGCUUUCCAUUCUUCCAUGACCUGAGAGCCCUUCGGUCCUGUUCGUUCAAACCAUAGAUGUUGGACACGUCAACCUGUGGCGAGGAAGAGGAAUGUUAGGUUAGGUUAGGUUAGGUUAGGUUAGUAUAAGGUGUGGUAGAGUUUACAAUAAUAAAGUAAUGCAAGGAAGAAACGAAGGGAGGUUGGUGAGUUAGGUUAGGUUAGGUUAGGUUAGUAUAAGGUGUGAUGGAGUUUACGAUCAUAAAGUAAUGCAAGGAAGAAACGAAGGGAGGUUGGUAAGUUAGGUUAGGUUAGUCAGGCUAGGAACUAACAGAGCAAUAUGACCUUAACGACUUUUCCUCUUAUUUUCCUUCACCUAUUCCCCUUGAUCUCCAUUUUUCUAACAACCUACAGCUUCUCUUCCUCUAAACUCGCCCUUUCUACCUCCUUCUUCUAACAAUCAACCCUUGGUAAGCUGAUCUCCCUUGGCAUACCCUUCAUUUUUAUGAGUUACCCCUUCAAGCCCCUUCAAUUUUACCCUUCCUUCUUUCCCCUCAUUUCCCCUAAGUAACCCCAUAUUUCCCUUCCUUUUUCUUGAGUAACAGCCACCAACCCCCAACAUCAGGCAAC